AGUGGGGAAUAUUGCACAAUGGGGGAAACCCUGAUGCAGCAACGCCGCGUGAAGGAAGACGGUUUUCGGAUUGUAAACUUCUGUUCUUAGUGAAGAUAAUGACGGUAGCUAAGGAGCAAGCCACGGCUAACUACGUGCCAGCAGCCGCGGUAAUACGUAGGUGGCAAGCGUUGUCCGGAAUUACUGGGUGUAAAGGGAGCGUAGGCGGGAAGCCAAGUCAGCUGUGAAAACUACGGGCUUAACCUGUAGACUGCAGUUGAAACUGGUUUUCUUGAGUGAAGUAGAGGUUGGCGGAAUUCCGAGUGUACCGGUGAAAUGCGUAGAUAUUCGGAGGAACACCGGUGGCGAAGGCGGCCAACUGGGCUUUAACUGACGCUGAGGCUCGAAAGUGUGGGGAGCAAACAGG
rnacentral:rRNA from 1 species